rnacentral:rRNA from 1 species
AGAGUUUGAUCCUGGCUCAGAAUGAACGCUGGCGGCGUGCUUAACACAUGCAAGUCGAACGAGGCGGAAGGGGGCAACUCCUUCCAGUCGAGUGGCGGACGGGUGAGUAACACGUGGGUAACCUGCCCGGAAGUGGGGAAUACCUCGGGGAAACUCGAGCUAAUACCGCAUGACAUCUUCGGGACGAAAGUCCUGGUGGUCAAAGCGGGGUCGCAAGAUCUCGCGCUACCGGAUGGGCCCGCGCCCGAUUAGCUAGUUGGCGAGGUAACGGCUCACCAAGGCUUCGAUCGGUAACCGGCCUGAGAGGGCGAUCGGUCACACCGGAACUGAGACACGGUCCGGACUCCUACGGGAGGCAGCAGUGGGGAAUCUUGCGCAAUGGGCGAAAGCCUGACGCAGCAACGCCGCGUGGAGGAUGAAGGCCCUUGGGUUGUAAUAUCGGGGGGCUGGGCAGAGAGUAGCCGGGGCCAUACCGCUGGGUCUGACUUACAGCGUAGUAGAGCUU